rnacentral:lncRNA from 1 species
CAAACUAGUCGAUGGUAUCGACUGCGAUCUGACAUCAGGUGCAAUUUCUCUAGUCACAUGACCAUUCCCUGAGAUGUCGCUGGAUGCAAUCCUGGCGAAGUUAAAUCGAUGUCACACUACAAUGUUGUUUUCACAGCCAAUCAACAUUUCCCGACCAUUUGUUUACAACAUUUCUCGAACAUUUGUUUAUCUAUCGAGUAAUGGCAACAUACGGAGACGACAUGCUAAUGCUGGCUUAAACUUUCAUCUUCGAGAGUCCACUGAACUAAAUUUACAUUUGCCAUUUUUUCAAAUUAAUCCAAUAUCCAAAUAUGCAUG